rnacentral:lncRNA from 1 species
UAGAUGGGACCCUCCUCUUCUGGUUAACACAUCAUCUGAAGAUAGCCAGAGAGCCAUCUCUAAGCUGUGCAAUGACAAGGAGUCAUCCUUCAUAGAAGACAUCUGCCCCCCAAACAGGUCGUCUAUACUUGAUGGUGACUUGUUAAGAAGUUCACCCUGUGCUUUAUUUCCAACUCAGGACACCUGGAAAAGAGUCAAGAAAACUUUUCUUUUGAGUUAUUUAAGGCUUGUAACAAUUGAACAAACUCCUGUGAACAAAAUUUGGAGCAUAUUUGUUUCUCUCUACCUGAUUUCUCCAGAAUUUGGAAAGUAGUUGUAAGUAUUCUUAAUUUAUGGCAAUAUAGUUACUUGCAUAAGUGCAAUACAAAUCUGUUUUCUUUUGCAAUACUAAGACACAAUUGAAGAAACCGGUUAUUUUACCGAGGCUUUGACUGGAAUGGUGUGCUUUCCUUUAAGGACUCAAACUUGACUUGUAAAGCCAAUAAAAGCCGCUUGAGGAACUAGCCUUAGACCUUGUCUAUGACAGUCCCUAUACAGAGUUUCUGACCUGUAGUAAGUAAAGAAUGUGACUUUCUAACAAGUCCAGGAACCCCAAGUUAUCUUGGGACCUCAAAAGGAAAGGAAUUUACCCAAUUCAUAGGUAUUAGAGAGUACAAACCCACAGCAGGGCUCAGCUCUAAAAAAGUCUUAUCUAAGAAUCCUUCUAUGGAACAGAGUUCCAUCAAAGCCAAUUUGAAAGAGCUUAUGUGAAAAAUAAUUAUUAUAAUUAUUCUUGCUGCACUUAUACAAAUAAACAGGCCAAGUAUAAUAAAGCAAAUCAGUCUUACCAUGAUUUGUCUUUAGUAAAAAUGGGAAACGGGAGAGAGAAAAAUUAUAUUUCAAGAACUAUGGUACAUCUGUUAUUAGAUUAUAGUCUCAUCAGUUGUUUUUAAGUUUGUUUCUGUAACUUAGGCUAACGCUGCUUAUUCCUGUGAACCAACCAGUAAUCUCUGACUGCUGCUCAGAAAAAAAACAAAAUGGAUGGGUAAUGUAAAAAUCUGGAUCAGUAUUCUAAUUCUGUGCAUAUAUUGGAAUUGGCUAGCAAACCCAUAUCAGCUUGGUUCCAACAGUUGCCCAGUUCAUGGAAAGCCUUCUUACUUGGUUUUCUUGAGAUAUUUUUACUUAUGUUGCUUUACUGUUGUGUAAUGUAUUGCUGUUGUAGUCUUUUUGUAGAAAUGCAGGACAAGCUUUCUGAAUGUUUUCUUAAACUAAACACUUAUUAAUCUUCCAGAUAUUGCCUCUUGUCGGAACUCAAGAGUCACGGAUAGCCCUCACCAUACUGAUGCUUUCUGACUGAGCUCCUCCCUACCCUGAACACAAGAGAUGCUAAUAGGCAGAAAUACCAUCACCCCUUUCAGCCUGAAGAAGUUACAGAAGAUGGAUAUUUAUCCCUCUGCAACCCUUAGGAUUAAAGGUUCUCUUAUAGAAGGGAGGGGGGAAAUGUCAGAGGUGUUUAAACCAGAGCAACUCCAUCUUGAAUAGGAGCUGGGUUAAAUGAGGCUGAGACCUAUUGGGCUGCAUACCCAGAUGGUUCAGGCAUUCUAAAUCACAGGAUGAGAUAGGAGGUCAGCAGAAGAUACAGGUCAUAAAGAUCUUGUUGAUAAAACAAGUUGUAAUAAAGAAGCCUUUACCAAGAUAGCCACAAGAGUGAACUCUGGUCAUCCUCACUGCUACAUUUCCACCAGUGCCGUGACAGUUUACAAAUGCCAUGGCAAUGUCAGGAAUUACCCUAUAUGGUCUAAAAAGGGGAGGCAUGAAUGAUCCACCUCUUGUUUAGCAUAUUAUCAAGAAAUAACCAUAAAAAUGGGCAAGCAACAGCCCACAGGGCUGCUCUGUCUAUGGGGUAGCCAUUCUUCUAUUCCUUUACUUUCUUUUUUUUUUUUUUGAGAUGGAGUCUCACUCUGUCACCUAGGCUAGAGUGCAAUGGUGCAAUCUUAGCUCACUGCAACCUCCGCCUCCUGGGUUUAAGUGAUUCUCCUGCCUCAGCCUCCCGAGUAGCUGGGAUUAUAGGUGCCCACCACCAUGCCUGGCUAAUUUUUGUAUUUUUAGGACAGACAGGGCUUUGCCAUGUUGCUCAGGCUGGUCUCGAACUCCCGACCUCAGGGGAUCCGCCCUCCUUGGCCUCCCAAAGUGCUAGGAUUACAGGCAUGAGCCACCACACCCGGUCUUAUUCAUUUAAUUUCUUAAUAAAUUUGCUUUCACUUUACUCUAUGGGCUCACCCUGAAUUCUUUCAUGCUUGAAGUCCAAGAACCCUCUCUUGGGGUCUGGAUUGGGACCCUUUUCCUGUAACAGCUUGACUU